AACGAACGCUGGUGGCAUGCCUAACACAUGCAAGUCGAACGAUGCCUUCGGGCAUAGUGGCGCACGGGUGCGUAACGCGUGGGAAUCUGCCUUUCGGUUCGGAAUAACUCAGGGAAACUUGAGCUAAUACCGGAUAACGUCGCAAGACCAAAGAUUUAUCACCGAAAGAUGAGCCCGCGUAGGAUUAGCUAGUUGGUGAGGUAAAGGCUCACCAAGGCGACGAUCCUUAGCUGGUCUGAGAGGAUGAUCAGCCACACUGGGACUGAGACACGGCCCAGACUCCUACGGGAGGCAGCAGUGGGGAAUAUUGGACAAUGGGCGAAAGCCUGAUCCAGCAAUGCCGCGUGAGUGAUGAAGGCCUUAGGGUUGUAAAGCUCUUUUACCCGGGAAGAUAAUGACGGUACCGGGAGAAUAAGCCCCGGCUAACUCCGUG
rnacentral:rRNA from 1 species